rnacentral:rRNA from 1 species
GACGAACGCUGGCGGCGUGCUUAACACAUGCAAGUCGAACGAAGAGCGAUGGGAGCUUGCUCCUAUCAAUCUUAGUGGCGAACGGGUGAGUAACGCGUAAUCAACCUGCCCUUCAAUGGGGGACAACAGUUGGAAACGACUGCUAAUACCGCAUACGAUCGUAAUUCGGCAUCGAGAUACGAUGAAAGGUGGCCUCUAUUUAUAAGCUAUCGUUGAAGGAGGGGAUUGCGUCUGAUUAGCUAGUUGGAGGGGUAACGGCCCACCAAGGCAAUGAUCAGUAGCCGGUCUGAGAGGAUGAACGGCCACAUUGGGACUGAGACACGGCCCAAACUCCUACGGGAGGCAGCAGUGGGGAAUCUUCCGCAAUGGACGAAAGUCUGACGGAGCAACGCCGCGUGAGUGAUGAAGGUCUUCGGAUUGUAAAGCUCUGUUAAUCGGGACGAAAGAGCCUAGUGUGAAUAAUGCUAGGAAGUGACGGUACCGGAAUAGAAAGCCACGGCUAACUACGUG